AGAAAGACUGAAAGAGGGAGAAGAUAGAGAGAGAAAGAGGGGUUUGAAGGAGCUUUUGAAUUCUCUUAGGGUUGAUGUUAGGUUUGUAGAUUUUGAUUCACAUUUCUUUGUUUCAAGAUCUGAUUGAUUUUUUCAGGUUAUCUUCAAUUUGAUUAUAGUCAAAGUUGAUGAACCGUUUAGGGUUUAAGUCGGUGGUCUACCAUGGUGAUGUUCGUUUGGGUGAAUUGGAGGCAAUACAAGUCAAUGGACAAAGUUUUCAAUUUCCAAACAACGAGAUUCGGAUCCAUCAUAUAUCUCCACAGAGUGAGAGAUGUCCACCUAUUUCAAUUCUCCAAACAAUUUCUUCAUUUUCUGUACGAUGCAAGCUUGAAUCGUCUUCUCCAGUUGAACAACCUCACUUGAUCACUCUUCAUACUUCCUGCUUCUUUGAGCUCAAGACGGCUGUGGUUGUUCUUGGAGAGGAAGAGAUUCAUUUGGUGGCUAUGCCAAGUAAGCAAAAGAAGUUUCCUUGUUUUUGGUGCUUUGCGGUACCUUCUGGAUUGUACAAUUCCUGUGUGUGGAUGUUGAAUUUGAGGUGUUUGUCUAUUGUCUUUGAUCUCGAUGAGACUUUGAUUGUUGCCAAUACAAUGAAAUCUUUUGAGGAUAGAAUUGAAGCACUGCGCAAUUGGCUAUUGCGUGAAACUGAUCCGAUUAGAGUAUCGGGAAUGACAGCUGAACUAAAACGAUAUAUGGAUGAUAGAAUCCUGUUGAAACAGUAUGCUGAAAAAGACUGCGUUGAGGACAAUGGGAAAAUGUAUACGGCUCAAUUAGAGGAAGUCCCACCGGUGUCUAAUGGAAAUGAGAGGGUGGUGGUACGUCCUAUCAUAAGAAUACCAGAAAAGAACACGGUGCUUACCCGCAUUAACCCGGAGAACCGUGACACUAGUGUGCUGGUGAGACUUAGGCCUGCCUGGGAGGAUUUGAGGAGUUAUUUGACUGCUAAAGGGCGUAAAAGAUUUGAAGUUUAUGUUUGUACUAUGGCUGAAAGAGAUUACGCCUUAGAGAUGUGGAGAUUGCUUGACCCGGAGGCGCACUUGAUUCAUUCAAAGCAGUUAUUGAGGCGUGUUGUUUGUGUCAAAUCAGGCGCUAGAAAGUCGCUGCUUAAUGUCUUUCAGGAUGGCAAUUGUCAUCCAAAGAUGGCCAUGGUGAUCGAUGAUCGUUUAAAAGUCUGGGAAGAUAAAGAUCAGCCUCGGGUUCAUGUCGUCCCUCCCUACACUCCAUAUUAUGCUCCGCAGGCAGAGAUGGCAAAUGCUGUUUCCGUCCUAUGUGUGGCGAGAAAUGUAGCAUGCAAUGUGAGGGGCGGUUUCUUCAGGGAUUUUGAUGAAAUCCUGCUUCGUAGAAUCUCUGAUCUCUUUUACGAAGAUGAGGUCAUAAGUUUACCUUCUGCACCUGAUGUGAGCAAUUAUAUGAUGUCUGAGGAUGCUAGUUUUGUGCCGAAUGGAAACAUACAUGUCCCCAUUCCAGAGGGAAUGUAUGUUCCUGAAGUUGUUCAUCAGUCAAACGAGCUGGAUGAGAAGAGUACUGUACGCCUUGUACACCCCAUUGUAAAUGGUCCAGAGUCAAAACCUGAAGCCUCCUCACAUAUAUCGGCCACCACUGUUCCAGGUGUUCGUGUUCCAGGAUCUUUCAGAACAAUCAUACCGUCAGAUAAACCUAGUUUGCUUGGAGCUCCUUUUAGACGAGAUGUCGGUUUAUCUGAGUCUGAACCUGAAAUGAAGAAAAGACCAUUUAUUGUGAAUCCUUCUCAAGAAUUACGGUAUCAGGGCUUGAAUGAACCUCCUAUUUUGUCUAAAUUGCCUGGUCAUGGAGUUUUAAACAACAUACAACCCCAAGGUGGAUGGUUAGAAGAUGACAACCAUCGAGGAUAUUUAAAUGCCAGAACAUCAGGAGCUAUUCUGGAAAAUACAUUGAAUAUGGAGAAACAACAUCUCCCACAGAACCAUGGUGCAUCAAGUCACUUUUCUGCAGGAAUACUACAAAAUCUAUCUGAAGCAAAGCAUGAAGAGGCAUGUAUAGGACGGGGAGCGAGAAAACAUAAUCUUCCUUCACUGAACCAGCCAUCUGAAGUUGGUGUUAUUCAUAAUCUAUCCUCUUCAAAUGGUGGAGAGCUUACUGAGGGGGAAAAACCAAACAUGGUGCAAUCUUCUUUAUGCAUGGGAGUGCUACAAGAAAUUGGGAGACGAUGCAAUUCUAAGGUUGAAUUUGGGCCAACUACGAGCAACAAUAAAGAUAUGCAGUUCUGUGUUGAGGUAUUUUUUACUGGUGAAAAGAUUGGCGUUGGAAUGGGUAGAACAAGGAAGGAUGCUCAGCAACAAGCUGCUGAGAAUGCUCUCCGUAGCUUGGCUGAUAAAUAUCUAUCACAUGUUACACAACAAGGAUCUGUGGACAACAACUUUGAUAAGCUCUCCAUUUCAAGUGAAAAUGGGUUUAUAUGGGAUACUACUAGUUCUGGAUCUGGACAGACAAUUGAUGAUGCACUAGCCAAAGAAGAGGUGGGGAUUCCUGAUGCUUCUAUGCAUGAUUGAUUUGGUUACUUUCUUUGGAAACAUAGGUAUUGCUUGGAUAAUGGGUACGAGGGCAAGACAUUUCCCAGAUAAGAGAGAUACGGUUUAUCUGGAGAGGUGCCACUUUUUUUAUUGGAUUUUUGCAUUGCACCCAAGAUGUUUCCAAAGGAUUAACAUGAAAAAAGGUGGGGGUGUAGUGUGUUCAACUGCCGCCUUGGCAUACUUGCUGUUUUUUUAGAGUGUGCUGAAGGGAGGACGGUUGAGAGUAGUAUGUCCAUUGAAGUAAGCCAAGUAGCAGCUGGUAAACGUGCUAGAACCUCAGGAUACCUAGUUCCACCAACUCAAGGAGGAAACAAUCAAAAGAAGAGAUAACAACAGGAUUCAUUAGUUUUGUGUUAUCAU